AAAUGAAAGCAGAAGCACCCGCUUCUCGCCUUACGCGAAUAUCUCGCUGGGCUAGAUAGUUAAUGACUGAUCUUUUCGAUGAGUCGACUACGUGCGGGUUCGUAAAGAACUCGUUUUUUUAUUUGCUU
rfam:Enterococcus gilvus ATCC BAA-350 genomic scaffold acEQl-supercont1.3, whole genome shotgun sequence.